GAUGAACGCUGGCGGCGUGCCUAAUACAUGCAAGUCGAGCGAACAGAUGAGGAGCUUGCUCCUCUGACGUUAGCGGCGGACGGGUGAGUAACACGUGGAUAACCUACCUAUAAGACUGGGAUAACUUCGGGAAACCGGAGCUAAUACCGGAUAAUAUAUUGAACCGCAUGGUUCAAUAGUGAAAGACGGUUUUGCUGUCACUUAUAGAUGGAUCCGCGCCGCAUUAGCUAGUUGGUAAGGUAACGGCUUACCAAGGCAACGAUGCGUAGCCGACCUGAGAGGGUGAUCGGCUACACUGGAACUGAGACACGGUCCAGACUCCUACGGGAGGCAGCAAUAGGGAAUCUUCCGCAAUGGGCGAAAGCCUGACGGAGCAACGCCGCGUGAGUGAUGAAGGUCUUCGGAUCGUAAAACUCUGUUAUUAGGGAAGAACAAAUGUGUAAGUAACUAUGCACGUCUUGACGGUACCUAAUCAGAAAGCCACGGCUAACUACGUG
rnacentral:rRNA from 1 species